UACAGAGGGUGCGAGCGUUAAUCGGAAUUACUGGGCGUAAAGCGCGUUCAGGCGGUUUGGCAAGUCGGGCAUGAAAUCUCUCGGCUCAACCGGGAGAGGUUGUCCGAUACUUCCAGACUUGAGUCCGGUAGGGGAGUGUGGAAUUCCCGGUGUAGCGGUGAAAUGCGCAGAUAUCAGGAGGAACACCGAUGGCGAAGGCAGCUCGCUGGGACGGUACUGACGCUGAGGCGCGAAAGCGUGGGGAGCGAACAGG
rnacentral:rRNA from 1 species